UCAGUAAGAGACAGAAACGAAAAAAGGUCAGUUUUUUUCAUUUUCUGAGACCGGAAGUGGUCAUCAGCAAGUGUUGAGCCAAACGACAACAAGAUUCUCAGAGGGCGGAGCCAGAGAGCAGUGAUUGGUCAGACUGACCGAGAGUCAGAGAGCAGUGAUUGGUCAGACCAUAGAUAAUAUAGAAGACAGCGCGCUAGCGUAUCUAGUCUGUGUGUAUCUAUGGUCGGCACGUCUGGUAGCAUCUGUGGCUGCUGUUGACCUUGUUUUUGGAGUAAAACACGGUGGAAGCUGAAUUAGUGAGGAUGACUCCUGCUCCUGUCAUCUCUAAGCUCCUCACACAUCUUUACCUGCACAUGAGGAAAAUCACUCCUGUAGAAUGCAGAUGUUCAGAGGGAGAUGAUGCCACAUCUGGUCCAGCUGAUGGAAGGUCUUGAAGUUCUCUGACUGGCCUCGACUGAAGAUGGUCGUCUCACUGGAUUUAAGAUGCACAAUGAGGGACGUCUGCAGAGACUGAGAAAGAGUCUCACCACAUCCUGACAUGAGGAAAAAGACUUUAUUGAAGACUACAAUGAGAAAAACUAUCAGACAGCAGACGGCUGCAUUCAAGGUGAGCUCUGAACAUUUGAUCUGGAACAGGAAUUCAAUAACGGCAGCAUGAGCUUCAUUUCAGUCUGUAGCUGCUGAAUUCAUGGAUGAAUCAUCUGGCACUAGAGAAGAAGACCAUCAAACAUCCACGUCAGCUGAUGGAGGUCCAAGAGUCUCACCGAACAACCAACCUACAGAGUGAAGACCUCAAAUCUGAUUGGACGGCCUCCUAUUCAGCCACAUGCUACAGGAGGAGCCCUACGAGGACGAGCCGGUCCACCUGAUGGUGGCCAGUCGCUGCGGUUCAAAGCCAACACCGACUACGUGGACUUCUACUGGACCACACGGAGGCCUUCAAACCGGACCAACAAGUUCAGCGACUCCCCGACUCGUGGGUCUGAGGACGCCGCCGAGCCUCGGUCCAGCCGGCCUCCUGUCUGUGGGUGUUUGAGUGCUGAGAGGUUUGUGGAUGCAUGUGAACGUGUCUGUGUUGAAACAGCAGCUUUUGACUCAGUAACGCUGGGAAAAACCAAGAGCUCCUUUAUUUGUGACUUCCACUAAAAAAAACUGAUGAAAAUAAGUUUGCCAGGGUUCUGACUGAUAACAGAUUAUUAAAUAAUGAAAAUAAUCGUGGAAUAUACCAUUAAACUCACCUUUUAGGUCUACAUUGGAGGAUUUUAGGUGGAAUUUUCUUCCAAACCGUCUU
ensembl:lncRNA